AGGUCUGUAGCCAAGCUGGUAAGGCAACCGGUUUUGAUCCGGUCACCGAUGGUUCGAGUCCAUCCAGACCCGCCA
rnacentral:tRNA from 1 species